GAUGAACGCUAGCUACAGGCUUAACACAUGCAAGUCGAGGGGCAGCACAGUGUAGCAAUACAUGGGCGGCGACCGGCGCACGGGUGCGUAACGCGUAUCCAACCUUCCCGUUACUCUUGGAUAGCCUUCCGAAAGGGAGAUUAAUACAAGAUGGUAUUCAAAUUCCGCAUGUUAUUUGAACUAAAGAUUUAUCGGUAACGGAUGGGGAUGCGUGACAUUAGGUAGAUGGCGGGUAACGGCCCACCAUGCCCACGAUGUCUAGGGGUUCUGAGAGGAAGGUCCCCCACACUGGAACUGAGACACGGUCCAGACUCCUACGGGAGGCAGCAGUGAGGAAUAUUGGUCAAUGGCCGGAAGGCUGAACCAGCCAAGUAGCGUGAAGGAUGAAGGUUCUAUGGAUUGUAAACUUCUUUUAUACGGGAAUAAAACCUCCCACGUGUGGGAGCUUGUAUGUACCGUAUGAAUAAGCAUCGGCUAACUCCGUG
rnacentral:rRNA from 1 species